rnacentral:tRNA from 1 species
GAGGGUAUAGCUCAGGGGUAGAGCGUGUGCUUAGCAUGCGUGAGGUCCUGGGUUCAAUCCCCAGGACCUCCA